rnacentral:rRNA from 1 species
GACGUAGGAUGCAAGCGUUGUCCGGAUUUAUUGGGCGUAAAGAGUUCGUAGGUGGUUUGUUAAGUCUGAUGUUAAAGACUGGGGCUCAACCUCGGAAAUGCAUUGGAUACUGGCAGACUAGAGUGUGGUAGGGGAGACUGGAAUCCCUGGUGUAGCGGUGAAAUGCGCAGAUAUCAGGAGGAACACCGAUGGCGAAGGCAGGUCUCUGGGCCACUACUGACGCUGAGAAGCGAAAGCAUGGGGAGCGAACAGG